rnacentral:rRNA from 1 species
AGCGAACGCUGGCGGCAGGCCUAACACAUGCAAGUCGAGCGCCCAGCAAUGGGAGCGGCAGACGGGAUAGUAACACGUGGGAACGUACCUUUCAGUUCGGAACAACCCAGGGAAACUUGGGCUAAUACCGAAUACGUCCGUAAGGAGAAAGAUUUAUCGCUGAAAGAUCGGCCCGCGUCUGAUUAGCUAGUUGGUGAGGUAAUGGCUCACCAAGGCGACGAUCAGUAGCNGGUCUGAGAGGAUGAUCAGCAUCACUGGGACUGAGACACGGCCCAGACUCCUACGGGAGGCAGCAGUGGGGAAUAUUGGACAAUGGGCGCAAGCCUGAUCCAGCCAUGCCGCGUGGAUGAUGAAGGCCUUAGGGUUGUAAAGUCCUUUCGGCGGGGAAGAUAAUGACGGUACCCCGCAGAAGAAGCCCCGGCUAACUUCGUGCCAGCCGCCGCAGUAAU